AGAGUUUGAUCCUGGCUCAGGAUGAACGCUAGCUACAGGCUUAACACAUGCAAGUCGAGGGGCAGCAUGAAGUUUGCUUGCAAACUUUGAUGGCGACCGGCGCACGGGUGAGUAACGCGUAUCCAACCUUCCCCUUACUAGGGAAUAGCCCGGCGAAAGUCGGAUUAAUGCCCUAUGUUCUCCUUUGCGGGCAUCUAACGAGGAGCAAAGAUUCAUCGGUAAGGGAUGGGGAUGCGUCUGAUUAGCCAGUUGGCGGGUAACGGCCCACCAAGGCGACGAUCAGUAGGGGUUCUGAGAGGAAGGUCCCCCACAUUGGUACUGAGACACGGACCAAACUCCUACGGGAGGCAGCAGUGAGGAAUAUUGGUCAAUGGACGCGAGUCUGAACCAGCCAAGUAGCGUGCCAGGACGACUGCCCUAUGGGUUGUAAACUGCUUUUAUGCGGGAAUAAAGUCAGGUACGUGUACCUGUUUGUAUGUACCGCAUGAAUAAGGACCGGCUAAUUCCGUGCCAGCCGCCGC
rnacentral:rRNA from 1 species